GACGAACGCUGGCGGCGUGCUUAACACAUGCAAGUCGAACGGAAAGGCCCUGCUUUUGUGGGGUGCUCGAGUGGCGAACGGGUGAGUAACACGUGAGUAACCUGCCCUUGACUUUGGGAUAACUUCAGGAAACUGGGGCUAAUACCGGAUAGGAGCUCCUGCUGCAUGGUGGGGGUUGGAAAGUUUCGGCGGUUGGGGAUGGACUCGCGGCUUAUCAGCUUGUUGGUGGGGUAGUGGCUUACCAAGGCUUUGACGGGUAGCCGGCCUGAGAGGGUGACCGGCAACAUUGGGACUGGGAUCCGGCCAGGACUCCAAGGGGAGGAAGCAGUGGGGAAUAUUGAACAAUGGGCGGAGGCUGGAUGCAGCACCGCCGCGGGGGGAUGACGGCCUUCGGGUUGUAAACCGCUUUCGCCUGUGACGAAGCGUGAGUGACGGUAAUGGGUAAAGAAGCACCGGCUAACUACGUG
rnacentral:rRNA from 1 species